UAAAUUGUCUUCUAAAUAAGGACUAGUAUGAAUGGCACCANGAGGGNUNAACNGUCUCCCCCCUNUNAUCAAUGAAANUNAUNUUNUNGUGAAGAAGCGAGAAUAAAUAUAUAAGACGAGAAGACCCCAUGGAGCUUUAAACUCAUCACCACUUACUAUUAGACCACUAUAAAAAGUAAAAAUGUUCUUGAUAGUUUUCGGCUGGGGUGACCCUGGAGUAAAACAAACCCUCCAGAAUGAAAGGAAAAAAUCCUAAUCCAAGAACCACAAUCCUAAGAAUCAAAAAUUUGACAUUAAUGAUCCUUACUUGAU
rnacentral:rRNA from 1 species